CAGCCCAGGCUCUAAUUUGAAAAUCAAGAUUUGUAUACAGGAUUGCAACCCAAGAAAAAGAAAAGAAAAUCAGUAGACAGGACCACUUACUCUUGGCUACUUCAUUAUCUCAAAUACUGGAUGUGCUCUCGAAUAUGCCAAUAUGCAAGGAAAUUAAGCACCAGACAUUUGUCAUCAUCUAUAUAUAUACACAGGGGACCUUUGACACUGUUCAUCAACCGAGUUCUAUAACAAGUGUAUAGAUGCAAUGUAUUACUGGGCAAUUACUCUUUUGGCAGUUGGCCACUCGACUGCAAGUUAAAUUGCAAGGAAGUAAGCUCACUGCCAAAGGAGAUUUGCCCCGCAAUUCAUCUAUACAAUCAUUUUGCCCACUAUUCGAUGCAUGUUACCAACCCAAGAAUGUUUGUCAUUGAUGGUUCCGGCCAGGCUGAACUAAUGAUGAUCUCCUAGUUCAUCAAUUUAGACUCUACAAGACAAAAAAGAUUAGCGAGAUCUUGGACAAUGUGCCUAACGAGCUCUAAAAUGUAUUUAUAUAAAAUAUCAUUGGAGAAUUUAGAAAUAAUUUUCAUGAAAUCUUUGUAUUAUUUUUAAAAGAAAGAUGGUGAGGAUAAAGAAAAUCUUUAUUUUUUUCCGCAAAUCUAAGAAGAAAUUAUGUGCUAACUAGGCUAAUUUGUUAUAAUUGUCUUAUAAAAUGCAUGAUUUACUCUUUUUCUAGAAAUGUAUACAUCAACUCGGUUUGAGAUUUAUAUUAAUCUCUAUACUAUUAUAAAAAUUUGUCUGUUAAUUCAUUUUAA